rnacentral:misc_RNA from 1 species
GUGAGUCAUCGAAUCUUUGAACGCACAUUGCGCCCUUUGGUAUUCCGGAGGGCAUGCCUGUUCGAGCGUCAUUUCAACCCUCAAGCCCGGCUUGGUAUUGGGCGACCCCCCCAACCGCGGGGGUGCCUGGAAAUCAUCGGCGACGAAUCCGAACCCUUGAGCGCAGUAGAAUAUUUCGCUCUGCAGGGCGAGGGGACCGUCUGCCAAACGAAUAUCUUCAAUGGUUGACCUCGGAUCAGGUAGGAUUACCCGCUGAACUUAAGCAUAUCAAUAAGCGGAGGA